CCUACCGGAGGCAACACUGCGGAAUAUUGCACAAUGNNNGGAAGCCUGAUGCAGCGACGCCGCGUGAGGGAUGACGGCCUUCGGGUUGUAAACCUCUUUCAGCAGGGAAGAAGCUGGAGUGACGGUACCUGCAGAANANGNACCGGNUANCUCCGUGCCAGCAGCCGCGGUAAU
rnacentral:rRNA from 1 species